rnacentral:rRNA from 1 species
GAUGAACGAUGGCGGCGUGCCUAAUACAUGCAAGUCGAGCGAACGGACGAGAAGCUUGCUUCUCUGAUGUUAGCGGCGGACGGGUGAGUAACACGUGGAUAACCUACCUAUAAGACUGGGAUAACUUCGGGAAACCGGAGCUAAUACCGGAUAAUAUUUUGAACCGCAUGGUUCAAAAGUAAAAGACGGUCUUGCUGUCACUUAUAGAUGGAUCCGCGCUGCAUUAGCUAGUUGGUAAGGUAACGGCUUACCAAGGCAACGAUGCAUAGCCGACCUGAGAGGGUGAUCGGCCACACUGGAACUGAGACACGGUCCAGACUCCUACGGGAGGCAGCAGUAGGGAAUCUUCCGCAAUGGGCGAAAGCCUGACGGAGCAACGCCGCGUGAGUGAUGAAGGUCUUCGGAUCGUAAAACUCUGUUAUUAGGGAAGAACAUAUGUGUAAGUAACUGUGCACAUCUUGACGGUACCUAAUCAGAAAGCCACGGCUAACUACGUG